CAGGUGUAUACAAAGGAUCCCGGGGGGGGGAGCGGCGCCCCCGGGUGGCCGGCGGAGGGGGAGACACGGGGAAGCCACGCGCAGCCGAUUCUUCAGAGGGGAGGGGCUUUCAUUUUAUCCGUUACCAUGGUGCGGAAGGUCGCUCAGCUUGGCGUGCGCUCCAUCCUGAAGAGACUCCGCCCCCUCCGCUCACCAUCCUGCUGCCCCGUCCCCCGCCGCUAGGUUUUGUGUCCCGGAGAUGGAGAAGUGGGGAGGAGGUGUUGGGGAAGAUGGAGGACCCCCCAGAACAGCUGCCUACGCUCAGGAAAUCUGACAUAUCAAAGCCAUUCCUGCCCAAGCGCUGAAGCCAGGGGCUCUGGUGGACUCGAUGCUGAAGGACCUGGCCACCAUCAUCCUCAGCACUUCACUCCUGGCGGGAUAGGUAGCCUUUGUCAUCAUAUAUCCUAAAGGGGGCGCUUUGAUAGAAGAGAUGUGGUGGUGAAGAGGAUCCUGCCGGAGUGUUUCAGUUUUUGCAGAUAGAGAAGUUCAGCUGCUGAGAGAAUCUGACGAGAUUCCCAACGUCGUCGUCCACUUCUGUACGGAGAAAGACCGCCGGUUCUAGUAUAUCGCCAUAGAGCUGUGUGCAGCCACACCCUGCAGGAGGUGACCCGCAGGUUCGGGAUCCCCGGCCUGAAGCGGGGGAUGGAGUGGUUUGGGUAUCAUGGAGGACAUUGCCGCUCCCCUCUUCUCCCGCUCACAGGACAGGAGGAGAAGGAAUUACGGACGGUGUUUACAGACAACGGCUGGCUCUGAUCCGGGAAGAACGCGCAACGGAUCUCCUUCCUCGGAAUGUUUCAUUUUCUAUGUAUCCGGGGGAAAAAUACAUCCCAUAAAAUAAAUCCUCCGCAUGGAGCAAAUAAAUGUCAUCUCAUCCAA